rnacentral:rRNA from 1 species
UUUUAUGGAGAGUUUGAUCCUGGCUCAGGAUGAACGCUGGCGGCGUGCCUAAUACAUGCAAGUCGAGCGAACAGACGAGGAGCUUGCUCCUCUGACGUUAGCGGCGGACGGGUGAGUAACACGUGGAUAACCUACCUAUAAAACUGGGAUAACUUCGGGAAACCGGCGAUAAUAACGGAUCAUAUAUUGAACCGCA